CGAAAACAAACUCUCACAAGAGGGAUGUAAAUUUUGGAGCUUCCAACUAUUCUGCCCCUGUUUCUACCAGCCUUCUCCCUGAAUAUUCAGAGGGGCUUGGCAGGCCAUGGUUAAAGCAAAAUAGCAAGAUAAAACACAAAUGUUAUAAGAUCUGUGAGACAGCUGAGGUUCAGUGAGGACUUGCUGACACUCCAGAUGCUGCUUUGCAGUGAAGCUCUGAAUCACAGUCUUUGGGACAAGGUUUUGGCAAUGACCUGGAACCCCAGGACAGCUGACCUCACCACCCUUCAUUCUAAGCAGGAGCCCAGAAUGAGUCUGGCCUGAAAUCAGACAGGCACUAGAGAAAGCCUUCUUUAUUCAUGGAAAGAGAAAAAGAGAAGAGGAUUUCCAACAACCUGCACCAAACUUUCUAUUACUCUAAAGAGCCUACCUUCCUUAUCAACCAACCUGUACUAUCUAGUGACUCCCAUUCUAACCUUUUGCCAGAAGUACAGUUUGUCAAUCCUAGUGAAAACAUAAAGGCAAAUGCUCAGCAAAAUAGACCUGGAACAGUGAUACUAUCAAAACGGUCAAGUAGAGUGAUGUCUGAAGGACAGCCUCAGCCCCCUGUGAUACUGUCCCGCAGGCCUGGACUCCACAUAUGCUACAUCUGUGGCAGAGAAUUUGGGUCACAGUCACUUGCCAUUCAUGAGCCCCAGUGCUUGGAGAAGUGGCAUAUUGAAAACAGCAAGUUACCCAAGCACCAGAGGAGACCAGAGCCCUCUAAACCCCAGCCCAUCAGUGGCAGUGGGGGCUACAGUCUUCAGGCAGCCAAUGAGGCAGCAUUUCGGAAUUCCCAGGUUCAGCUGCUGCCCUGUAAAUCCUGUGACUGCACGUUCUUGACAGAUCGUCUCCUUGUUCAACAGAGAAGCUGCAAGCCCAAGGGUGAGGGUCCUAGAAUGACAAAGCCCAAAAGUUCUGACAGUCUUACUGGUUUCAAGAAAGCUUCUAGUGGUAUCCCAGCCAGACCGAGAACUCUCAUCUGCUACAUUUGUGGUAGGGAAUUUGGCACCCUUUCCCUUCCUAUUCAUGAACCCAAAUGCCUGGAAAAGUGGAAAAUGGAAAAUGACAGGCUCCCUAGAGAGCACCGCCAGCCCCUCCCACAGAAGCCCAAGACCCUUGCAACUGGACAGUCCAGCCAAGAGGCUUCAAGCCAAGCUCAGCUUGUGCCCUGUGCAAACUGUAGCCAGACCUUUGUCCCUGAUCACCUUCUGGUACACCAGAGGGUUUGUCGAGCUCAACCUAGUAUACCGAAAGUUCAGAAUUUGACCUUAAGAAGUAAAGGUGACCUAAAUGCUCCCACCAAUUCCAAGCAGCAAAAGAACAUGGCAACACCCAGUGUAACUGAUAAGCCAAAGGGUUCUAUGAUCUCGAUGCCUUAAAUGAAGCUGCUUGGACAAGUGUCCAGAGCCAGUUGGUUCCCUGCAAUAUUUAUGGACGUACCUUCCUGCCAGAGAGACUGAUUGUUCACCAGCGAUCUUGUAAACCAAAAGCUGCCAACUCUCAGUAAAGCUUUAUCAUUCCCUCUGGCCUAUGUAUGAGCUGUGCUGAAUCAUGAAAACGACUUGGGAAAUAAGAGAAGAGCUAAGGUCUACACAAAGACACACAAAGAAAGCAGUUGAAAUUUCAUGGAACAAAUAGCACUUAGAAGCAACAAAUGGCAAACAACAACCGAUGUACAUAUAUAUUCCAUGGCAAUCUUCAGGAUCAUCUGAGGAGAAGACUGGAAUUCCUGACCCCAUCUAAUCGGGGGUUGGACCUUGAUUAUUUUGGCCAGGAUAGGGGUACAGAACUCUGAAGGCCAGAGAACAUGGAAGUAUGGUUAA